AGAGUUUGAUCCUGGCUCAGAUUGAACGCUGGCGGCAUGCCUUACACAUGCAAGUCGAACGGCAGCACGGACUUCGGUCUGGUGGCGAGUGGCGAACGGGUGAGUAAUAUAUCGGAACGUACCCUGGAGUGGGGGAUAACGCAGCGAAAGUUGCGCUAAUACCGCAUACGAUCUACGGAUGAAAGUGGGGGCUCGCAAGACCUCAUGCUCGUGGAGCGGCCGAUAUCUGAUUAGCUAGUUGGUAGGGUAAAAGCCUACCAAGGCAUCGAUCAGUAGCUGGUCUGAGAGGACGACCAGCCACACUGGGACUGAGACACGGCCCAGACUCCUACGGGAGGCAGCAGUGGGGAAUUUUGGACAAUGGGGGCAACCCUGAUCCAGCAAUGCCGCGUGAGUGAAGAAGGCCUUCGGGUUGUAAAGCUCUUUUGUCAGGGAAGAAACGGUGAAGGCUAAUAUCCUUUGCUAAUGACGGUACCUGAAGAA
rnacentral:rRNA from 1 species